UUCGGGCGGAGCAGCAGCGGUUUCCCGGCGACGGAAGUGGGCGAGGAUCUCGAGGAGAUGGUUAAAGUGAUGCCAAGUAAGAAACGUGGGAUAGUGUCGUUUGACUGACUUCCGUGCUGGUUAUGUUUAAAUUCGGUAAAAAAGCAAUGUUACCGAUGCCAAAGGUCCAGUGGAUUAGCAUUAGAAAGCGAAGACAAAAGGUGAUCGCAAAAGCACAAUUAACAAACUAAUGUAUUAAAAUUUCACUAAUGGUUCCUUUUUAGCUGCCUUUUUUUAAUGAAACCAAGCCAUCAUCUUUACAA